GGCAAUGUGGCUUAGUGUAGAGUGUUUGCCUAGCAAGCACAAGGCCCUGAGUUCGAUUCCUCAGCACCA
rnacentral:tRNA from 1 species